CAGCGGAGCAGGCUCUUCCACCUCCUUCAGCUCCCCCAGUGACACCGGAUCUAGGAAAGGUUGUGCCUUUUGCUGAAAGUCUGGGGUUGACGGGAGCUCAUCUAACAGGCUGGAGGGAAGUCUCCACUGUGGCCUGUUUGGAAACUGGAAAGGAGAGCGAAGACAGGAUGCUGCUUUUCCACGCUUCGCUGGAGGUUUCUGGGUCCCCACAGAGCUCGGGAAACAGUCAACAUGGUCACGCUUUUGGGGGCCGGAGACACGUGAACAACAGGCCCCCUUGCAGAGGGCAAAGGAACGUGGAACCCAGAAUCAUGGUUCACUCGGUCUGAGUGUGACUCUUGAAUGGACGGGACUAUCCACCUCGCGCUCUGUUGCAGGCUCAACGUGGGGCUAUGUCAUCUGUGAACCAUGUGGAUGAAAAACGGACAAUCACCCGAGUCUCAGCUCACUGCUCUCUGGGCAAUUCGCUCAUUCCUUGGGAGGCGGAAUUCGUCUGAAUCGCUCCGGGAUGAAGUGACCCAGGCUGGCGAUCCGGAGGGCCCGUGCGCGCCCCGCAGGCAGACGUGGCUGUGGGCCGAGCACUCAGCCUGCACUGGGCACCCAACAUUUUCCCGGAGUGCGAGGUCCUGCUGGUCCUGGAGGCAGAAGACCGCUUUUCUCUCUGCCUUCUUCUCUCUGUCUCUUGCUCCCUUUCUCUCUCUGUCCUUCCCUUCCUCCCUCCCCCCCCACCUCCCUUCCUCCCCCUCCCUACUUUCUCCUUUCCAAUAUCCCUCUGUCCAUCUGUCCUUUUCUCGCUCCAUUCCUCCCUUUCUCUCUGUUUCUGUUCCUCUCCCCAUCUCUAUUUUUCAACAUUAUAUGAUCCCAUUGUGUGUAUCUGUGUUAACAUUUUUAGCAAUAAAGUUCAUUUUCAUUAAGAUAUGUAUAUUGUUAUUUAGACAUGUUAUUUAUGUGUGUGCAUUUGUUUAAUAGACAUAAAUUUAUUUCAGAGUUAUUCUACAGCAUAGUGUAAGCAUAACUCAUAAGCAGUGUCAACCCAAAAAUUGUGUGACUCGCGUUACUGUGAUUCUUUUAUACUGCAGUGGUCGAGAAUAAAAUCUCUAUAUCUCCAAUUUAUAUCUGUGUAUUACCAUUAAAUUGGCCCCAUUUCCUGUAGUGAUAGAACACUAUUCCCAGACUAUGACAAGAGCUGUGGGCUGUGGGGAGGUCAGGGUUAGGAUGAUGCAGAAGUGAAGAUAAGACAUUCUCUUUUUCACAUCUUUAUUAA
rnacentral:lncRNA from 10 species